UUUUUGGUCCUUUUUUUAGGGCUGCACCCAUGGCACGGCUAGGGGUUGUAUUAGAUCUGUAGCCACUGGCCUACACCACAGCCACAGCAAAGCCAGAUCCGAGCUGUAUCUGCAACCUACACCACGGCUCACAUUAACACCGGAUCCUUAACCCACUAAGCAAGGCCAGGGAUCGAACCUGCAUCCUCAUGGAUGCUAGUCCGAUUCAUUUUCUCGGCACCACGUCGGGAACUCCUUGAUUACUCUUCUUAGAGCAUGUGCUGGACUUGCUGCUAACAAAUAGAGCCCAGAAGGAGUGACGGCACAUCUCACCUGUAACAUUGCGUUCUCGAAAGACUUUGUCUCUCUUGGAUCGAUCCCUUUGGAGUGAUCCCUUUUUUUUCCUGUGCCCGCAUCAUGUGGAAGUUCCUGGGCCAGGGAUCAAACCUGAGCAGCAAACUGCAGCGGUGAUAAUGCUGCAUCCUUAACCUGCUGAACCACACAGGAACCCCCAGCUGCUGUGCCUUGAACUUCCCUACAGGGAGGUCCCUUUGGCACAGAGUUGGUAUAAAACAGCUACAUACAAUGUCUCUGAGAACAGAGAAGAAUGGGCAGCACAUGGCACCUCCGGCCGACAGGAGCUGUCAGAGGUCAGAGGUCAGAGGUGGGAGGUCAAAGCCCCAGCGCAGCCCAGGUGGCACUUCCUGCUUUUGCCCUCUAGGAGAAACAACUCACAGAGCUUCUUCUUCGUUUCUUGUCGUCCCAGACCACACAUGAAAGGUGCCCUGGGAAGGGCACCCUUUUGGGGGCAGCGCAGCUUUGGAAGCCUGCUUCCUGCCAUGGCAAGUGCCAGGCUCAGGAGUUCCUCCAGAGCUGGAACAACCCUAGAAUUUAGCACACCUGGCUUAGCGUUUCUCUGGCAAUAUAAUUUCUUCAAAAUCCUCUGGUGCUUCCUGCCUGACGACGUUCAGUCAGUUCCAAGGUGCAGGUAACCCCUGACAAAAAUCUCACGAAGCCUCUAGUUCAUUAAGUGGUCUCUCUGCCCUGUCCUUCCCCUACUGUUUCAGCUCAGUGGUGUCCACAGGACAAGUGGCUUUGAUAUAAAGUGACAGUUGUGGAGUUUCCAUUGUGGCGCAUGACCGAAGCCGGCCCUGUUUGGGUUCCGACUUAUCUGGCCCCAGGGUUAAGCAGAUAACAAAUCUCUGCUGAUCUUUGGAAACUCAGGCCACUCCUUGUCUAUUGGCUGCCUGCAAGCAGGAAGGUGGUGAGGGCCAGGGCCCUGAGUUUGGGCUUUCUUUUUGCCUUGGCAUCAUUAUGGGGCAGAGGAGAGCUACGAAUGAAUGAGUGGGAAAAAUCAUUUGUGGGGGGACCGUGCCCUGAGCAGGUGGGAGAGAUGUGAUGACAAGUGAGGAUAAAGGCCUCAGGGAGGGUCCCCUUUCAUCAAAGCAUAAGGAAAGAGAAGAGAUGAGAGCAGCAGUCAUUUCAAUGUAGGUUGUGGCAUCCAAACAAGCAGUCUCCAAAUCUCCGUGGUUUAAAACAAUGGUUUUUCCUUGUUUGUGCUACGUGUUCAUCGUAGCUUGGCAAGGGUCCCACGCUCAUCCAAGGAACGAAGGCUGAUGAUCAACCCCCAUCUUGAAGGUGGUGGGUUCCUCUGCCAGAGGGAGAGCUCUGGAGGGUCUCACACUGGAUGUCCUGGCUUAGAUGUGACUGUAUGUUGUCCCUCACCACUCACGGCCAGAAUGAGUCACACACACAUACACACUCAGCAGCACCACCACCACCAGGGCACCAGGGCGUACCCCGACUGUGCCUGGUCGGUAAAGAAUUGCAAUUAUUUGGUGCACAACAUUCAUGACUCCUACAGCAUUUUAUCUCAGUUAAGGUUUAGUCUAGAAGUCAUACGGAAUGCCGGGGCUGGAGAACUUCAGACAAGCCAGUACCUGCCCAAGAUCACACAGAGAGCAGGCGCAGGUGGGCCAGCAGCCAGUUCUCCUCUUUCCCACCCUCCUGGUCCAGGGCAGCCAGGACUCUGAGGUGUUACCUUUGGCAAGGUUAGAAACUCUUUAGACGGACCCCGCUUCACCUGGGGCCAGACUUGAAUAAUGCUCCCCAACCCUCGGCCCCAAUGUGGUGAACUCGUCCUUGGCUGUUGCCCGUCCUACUGCGGUGUCCACUAGAAUUAAACCACUUUCUUACCAGGGUCGCCUCAGCUGAUGAAAGCCGAUGCCAAAGCCCCUGUAGGGCGGCUUUGUGAUCGCUCCAGCCUGACUCUGACCAGGCACGACACCAGC
rnacentral:tRNA from 1 species